UACGUAGGGUGCGAGCGUUGUCCGGAAUUAUUGGGCGUAAAGGGCUCGUAGGCGGUUUGUCGCGUCGGGAGUGAAAACUCAGGGCUUCACCCUGAGCCUGCUUCCGAUACGGGCAGACUAGAGGUAUGCAGGGGAGAACGGAAUUCCUGGUGUAGCGGUGAAAUGCGCAGAUAUCAGGAGGAACACCGGUGGCGAAGGCGGUUCUCUGGGCAUUACCUGACGCUGAGGCGCGAAAGCUGGGGGAGCGAACGGG
rnacentral:rRNA from 1 species